AUACGGAGGGUGCAAGCGUUAUCCGGAAUCAUUGGGUUUAAAGGGUCCGCAGGCGGUCUAUUAAGUCAGAGGUGAAAGCCCAUCGCUCAACGAUGGAACUGCCUUUGAUACUGGUUGACUUGAGUUAUACGGAAGUAGAUAGAAUAAGUAGUGUAGCGGUGAAAUGCAUAGAUAUUACUUAGAAUACCGAUUGCGAAGGCAGUCUACUACGUAUAUACUGACGCUGAGGGACGAAAGCGUGGGGAGCGAACAGGAUUAGAUACCCCAGUAGUCC
rnacentral:rRNA from 1 species